rnacentral:rRNA from 1 species
AUUGAACGCUGGCGGAAUGCUUUACACAUGCAAGUCGAGCGGCAGCACGGACUUCGGUCUGGUGGCGAGUGGCGAACGGGUGAGUAAUAUAUCGGAACGUGCCCAGUCGUGGGGGAUAACGUAGUGAAAAUUACGCUAAUACCGCAUACGAUCUAUGGAUGAAAGCGGGGGAUCGCAAGACCUCGCGCGAUUGGAGCGGCCGAUAUCAGAUUAGGUAGUUGGUGAGGUAAAGGCUCACCAAGCCAACGAUCUGUAGCUGGUCUGAGAGGACGACCAGCCACACUGGAACAGAGACACGGUCCAGACUCCUACGGGAGGCAGCAGUGGGGAAUUUUGGAGAAUGGACGCAAGUCUGAUCCAGCCAUUCCGCGUGCAGGACGAAGGCCUUCGGGUUGUAAACUGCUUUUGUACAGAACGAAAAGGUUUCUAUUAAUACUAGGGGCUCAUGACGGUACUGUAAGAAUAAGCACCGGCUAACUACGUGCCAGCCGCCGCCGUAA